CACGUAGGGUGCGAGCGUUGUCCGGAAUUAUUGGGCGUAAAGAGCUCGUAGGCGGUGUGUCGCGUCGGCCGUGAAAACCUGCAGCUUAACUGUGGGCUUGCGGUCGAUACGGGCAUCACUGGAGUUCGGCAGGGGAGACUGGAAUUCCUGGUGUAGCGGUGAAAUGCGCAGAUAUCAGGAGGAACACCGGGUGGCGAAGGCGGGUCUCUGGGCCGGAUACUGACG
rnacentral:rRNA from 1 species